rnacentral:rRNA from 1 species
GAUGAACGCUGGCGGCGUGCCUAAUACAUGCAAGUCGAGCGAACAGAUGAGGAGCUUGCUCCUCUGACGUUAGCGGCGGACGGGUGAGUAACACGUGGAUAACCUACCUAUAAGACUGGUAUAACCUCGGGAAACCGGAGCUAACACCGGAGAAGAUAUUGAACCGCAUGGGUCGAUAGAGAAAUACGGUGUUGCUGUCACUUAUAGAGGGAUCCGCGCCGCAUUAGCUAGUUGUUAAGGUAACGGCUUACCAAGGCAACUAUGCGUAGCCGACGUCAGAGGGGGAUAGGCCACCCGGGAACGUGACCACGGUCCAGGCUCCUAAGGGAGGCCGCAGUAGGGAAUCUUCCGCAGUGGGCGAAAGCCUGACGCAGUGGCGCGGCGUGAGUUACAAAGACCUUCGGAUCGUGAAGCCGUGUUACUAGGUGUGAACCGCUGUGUAAUUAACUAUGCCCGUAUUGACGGUACUUAGUCAGAAAGCACCGGCUAACUACGUG